CCCCCCCAUCUAUGGUGCGCAAUGGACUACUCCUGGGCCAGGGAGCUGGCUUGGAUCUGUAAGUCAGGCUCUUUCAUGACCAGUAUCUGUGACGAGAGGGGUCUGGAGCUGAUCUACUGGCUCUGACAAACAAGUCAGAAGGGACAAAAGAUGGAGGACAGAAGUGAGGCUUUGGUCAUGGAGUCCUCUGACAGAAAGACAGGCUACUCAGUACAAGUAGAGCCAUCCUCCUGCAUCUCACAUCUGCCUGGAGUUACUGAACUCUGCCUGCUGGACCCAAGAGGCAAACUAUGUCAUAUCCAAGAUGGAGUGUCAAGAACUCCAUCCCACCUGCCACCUGACUGUACAUGUCCAUAACCUGUAAUAUAUUACAUAGAUGGAAGGGACUUCAUCACCCACUGGAGACUUGAAGACAAAACCUCACCCAGAGAGCUGUGCAUGUCAGUGUAUUAAACAGCUAAAUCCUUAGAUUUGGGCAAAUAGACCAUAGAAAUAGAAAUGCCAUUCUAGUUCUGGCUAGACAGCUGAAGUUAUACUCUACACACAACUGAUUUUGAUUUGUUAGGUAACGUGUAGGCAUACUGUCUUUAUAAGCAAUAUGAUAUAUACAGCAGAAAAUGUUUUGUCUUUGUAACACGAACACAUCCAUCGACUUGUUGUUGAUGUAUCUACACUCAAGCUGGGCGAUGUUUGUGCCAUAUAAAUAUAAUUCAUUAUAUUUAUAUGGUUUGUGCAAUGUCCACUGGUGGCCUACACCUGCAGGGAUAUUAGUUAUGUGAUUUGUCUCCCGGGAAAAUAUCUAACAGUGGACAUAAGGAUAGACAAGACGAGACAAAACUAGCCAGUUAUAGAAU